UCAAGGAAUAAUUAGGGGUGCUGCCUUCAACACUUCCCGAAGUCAGAAUUCCUAUAAACAGAGCAGGCGGCCUUCUACACACUUGCCUUUUCUCAGAACGUCCUCCUUACAAACUUUCCAACCAAAUCACAUGCUCGCCCACAUCUCAC